rnacentral:rRNA from 1 species
CGCCUGUUUAUCAAAAACAUCGCCUUUUGUCACCUAAUAAAAUAAAGGUCCAACCUGCCCAGUGAACCACUUCAACGGCCGCGGUACCCUGACCGUGCUAAGGUAGCAGCAAUCACUUGCCCUUUAAUUGGGGGCUAGUAUGAAUGGUCAAACGAGGGUGAAGCUGUCUCAUUGAGACUCCACUAAAAAUUAUCCUUCACGUGAAGAGACCUGAUUACAAUAAAAAGACGAGAAGACCCUGUCAAGCUUUACACUACUCGAGCUCAUCACCCACUUGCUCGCCCACGUGUUUUGUUGGGGCAACACAGGAACACACUCUUCCUUAUUACCUCUUACACUCAAGCAAACAAUCCGACACAGUCGAACAAAGACAAAGCUACUGCAGGGAUAACAGGCUAAUCUGCUUCGAGAGCCCACAUUGACAAGCAGGCUUGGCACCUCGAUGUUGGCUUAAGAACCCCGGUUGGGGCAGCCCCCAACCUAAGGAGGUUUGUUCAACCUAUAAUUUCUUACGUGAUCUGAGUUCCCAGACCGGA